GCAGUAUUCUAGUAAUAGAUGCGAAAGGCUCAGUAACACGUCGCUAAUCUGCCCUAAGGUCAGGAAUAACUACGGGAAACUGUGGCUAAUACCUGAUAAGGAACAAAUACUGGAAUGUAUUGUUCUCUAAACUCGAGCCUUAGGAUGAGGUGGCGGCCGAUUAGGUUGUUGGCGGUGUAAUGGACCACCAAGCCGAAGAUCGGUACGGGUCAUGAGAGUGAGAGCCCGGAGACGGAAUCUGAGACAAGAUUCCGGGCCCUACGGGGCGCAGCAGGCGCGAAACCUUUACACUGCACGCCAGUGCGAUAAGGGGACUCCAAGUGCGAGGGCAUAUCGUCCUCGCUUUUCGCUACCGUAAGGAGGUAGCAGAAUAAGAGCUGGGCAAGACCGGUGCCAGCCGCCGCGGUAAUACCGGCAGCUCAAGUGAUGACCGCUAUUAUUGGGCCUAAAGCGUCCGUAGCCGGCCACACAAGUCUAUCGGGAAAUCUCCCCGCUUAACGGGGAGGCGUCCGGUGGAAACUGUGUGGCUUGGGACCGGGAGACCAGAGGGGUACGUCCGGGGUAGGAGUGAAAUCCUGUAAUCCUGGACGGACCACCGGUGGCGAAAGCGCCUCUGGAGAACGGAUCCGACGGUGAGGGACGAAAGCUCGGGUCACGAACCGGAUUAGAUACCCGGGUAGUCCGAGCCGUAAACGAUGUCUGCUAGGUGUGUCACAGGCUACGAGCCUGUGGUGUGCCGUAGGGAAGCCGAGAAGCAGACCGCCUGGGAAGUACGUCCGCAAGGAUGAAACUUAAAGGAAUUGGCGGGGGAGCACUACAACCGGAGGAGCCUGCGGUUUAAUUGGAUUCAACGCCGGAAAUCUCACCGGGGGCGACAGCAAUAUGAAGGUCAGGCUGAAGACCUUACCGGAUUAGCUGAGAGGUGGUGCAUGGCCGUCGUCAGUUCGUACUGUGAAGCAUCCUGUUAAGUCAGGCAACGAGCGAGACCCACGUCCACAGUUGCCAGCAUACCCUCCGGGGUGAUGGGUACACUGUGGAGACCGCCGCUGCUAAAGCGGAGGAAGGAAUGGGCAACGGUAGGUCAGUAUGCCCCGAAUCUCCCGGGCUACACGCGGGCUACAAUGGUUGGUACAAUGGGCAUCUACCCCGAAAGGGGAAGGAAAUCUCUUAAAGCCAAUCGUAGUUCGGAUUGAGGGCUGCAACUCGCCCUCAUGAAGCUGGAAUCCGUAGUAAUCGCGUUUCAACAGAACGCGGUGAAUACGUCCCUGCUCCUUGCACACACCGCCCGUCAAACCACCCGAGUAGGGUCUGGAUGAGGGUGUGUUUACUU
rnacentral:rRNA from 1 species